rnacentral:rRNA from 1 species
AUGACGUCAAGUCCUCAUGGCCCUUUAUGCUUAGGGCUACACACGUGCUACAAUGGGUGGUACAAAGAGAAGCCAACUCGCGAGAGUGCGCAAAUCUCAAAAAGCCAUCCUAAGUUCGGAUUGAAGUCUGCAACUCGACUUCAUGAAGCUGGAAUCGCUAGUAAUCGCGGAUCAGCAUGCCGCGGUGAAUACGUUCCCGGGCCUU